AUGCUGAGAAGGGCCGGUCACGUCAUGACACCUUCUGUGGCUAUUGCUCCCGGCCAGGUCACUCAGAGUUUGAUUGUCGCCAGAAGCAGCGAGACCAGAGGCGCUCCUCUUCCAGUGGGACUCCUGCGUCUUCCUCGACUCUGUCACUCACUGAUCAGGACAUUGUGCGGCUCAAGCGCCUUCUCGCUUCCUCCGGCUCUUUAUUGA
rnacentral:rRNA from 1 species